UUGUGUAAAACGUGCCUGAUUUUAAGAAAAGGCUCAUACAAAUUGAAAUUGUUUCUCUGAAUCCGCGCUCGCAAGAACUUGAGUCCUGGUAUGAACCGCAUGGACAGUUCAUCGUCUAAGAGACCUUGAUGCAGGUAUUUCUGUACAAGGAGAACUCAAGAUUUUACAGAAGACACAAAAAUUGGCUGGUUGUAGUUAUUAGGCUAAUUGGUUGGUUCUAAUCUAUGCUCUUUGGUGUUUUGCAUUGAAAUCCUUAAUCAGGACUUGCACUUAAAAGAACUUGCAACGAUCCUUUGUGGCGUCGGAGGAGGCGAUACUCGGAGGUGGACGACAUCUUGAUUGGAUGGCUUGGACUUCUGUCGGUGGAGAAAUCAGUGGAAGCUUCUCGGCUGUGUUGUUUUCUGGGCUCUUAGGUUGUUGGGCUCAUUUUCAGUUUUCCUUUGUGUUAGGCCCUUUUUUGUUUGGUUAUUGGUGUUUGCUGGGCCUGUGUUCUGUUUGUACAUUUGACUGGUGUUUAAUAAACUUUUCCACUUUCCAAAAAAAAAAAAAAAAAA